AUUGACCGCUGGCGGCAGGCCUAACACAUGCAAGUCGAACGAGUGGCGGACGGGUGAGUAAUGUCUGGGAAACUGCCUGAUGGAGGGGGAUAACUACUGGAAACGGUAGCUAAUACCGCAUACCAUCGGAUGUGCCCAGAUGGGAUUAGCUAGUAGGUGGGGUAAAGGCUCCCCUAGGCGACGAUCCCUAGCUGGUCUGAGAGGAUGACCAGCCACACUGGAACGGAGACACGGUACAGACUCCUACGGGAGGCAGCAGUGGGGAAUAUGUCAAAAUGGGCGCAAUGCUGAUGCAGCCAUGCCGCGUGGAUGAAGAAGGCCUUCGGGUUGUAAAGUACUUUCAGCGGGGAGGCGUUACCCGCAGAAGAAGCACCGGCUAACUCCGUGCCAGCAGCCGCGGUAAUUC
rnacentral:rRNA from 1 species